rnacentral:lncRNA from 1 species
CCGAGGACGUGCCCAGGCUCACUAUUGCUCCAGGUGGGUGACUUUGUGCUGUGGACAGGAACCCACUCCUGCCGCUCAGGUUAGGGUUAGGAAAUGGUGACUUCCCUCACUGACAUCUUUUAAAUGCUUCCCAAGUGCCAUUUGUUUUAAAAAAGCUCCGAUCUCACUUAUUUCCCUUAGUAGUGCAGGAAGGUCACUGCUGUUGUCCCAUUUCACAGAUAAGCAAACAUGGAGAUCCUAAUGCCUCCCUUACAGGGUUGUGUGGAAGGCUAGGGUAAGGUGUCCACGAUGCUUUCUGGGGGUAAUGCAUUCAGGUACAUGCAAAACCCAAGUGCUUUUAGGUUUGUCUGCAGGUUCACGUGCAAUGACAGGCAGUAGGAGCCAUGGAAGAGCCCCUAGCUCUCUGUCUCUCUCCCUCCUCUCUGCUUCUGGCCACCCCCGAGGGACAGAGGACACCGGGCGGACAUGAGAACACCAUACCAUGGACCUUUAAUUAGAACACAGACAUGUUCCAUACAGACUGAAAACCGGAAACCCGGGGGAGGUUAGGCUUAGUUGUAGAGAUCAGAAAUCAAGCAAGCCGUGGCCACUGUGUCCCUGGGCAGAGGACAGGGUCCCAGGACGCUGGAGGACACAGCAGUGUCUUUCCCUCUGAGGUGGACACUCAGGGCAUUUGCUGGUCAGGCUGGGCUGGACUGGGGAUGGCUCCUUUGGUUCGGUGUUUUCCAGGUGGGAGUCUCAGCCCCAGAGUAGAGAAAUGGCCUUCAGGUGUACCGAGUCCCCUGGGCCAGUGUGGUGGGUUCUGCUAGGUCCUUGGCCAAUGGACACUUGGAGGAAAACCAAGAGGUGGGACAGAAGUAAGACAAAGUCCUCAGAGCACACGCCCCCAGAGAAAGAGCUUCCAAGGGGACGAGGGGCACCGCCAGCCCCAUCUGAGCUCAAGGGACUUGGGCACAACACUCCCCCUUCCCAGGCCUCAGUUUUCUCAUCUGAAAAGUGGUACUCGGACCUACGUCACCGGCUUCCUUGAAUGAUUGUACAAAACAAGGUCUGACCACCAACGGGGGUAAAAUGCAGGGCAGAGCCAAACCAUCUUGGUCUCUCCUGGGAUGACUGUGGACCACUAGGCUUGGAGAGAAGUUCAAGGUAAAUACAGAGGACUUGAACUCAAGUCACGGGAGUUAUCAAGGGGACGACACCUCGCGGUCUCCCAUAGUUGGCACCAGAACUCAGCUAUCAUGACCUCCCCCAGCAGAUGAAAUCCACACCCCACCUUUCUGUUCCCGUCCUUGGUCGCUGCCGUUCAACCUACCGCAGAAGACCCAGGGACAAAAAUUCCAACAGGAAGCUGUCCUCCGGGUCAGAGCCAGAGCCCUCUCUCCCCCACCCUGCCAGGAUCGCUCAGGCCAAUUCCCAUUUCACAGAUGACAAGACUGAGGCCCGAGGCCCAUUCCCUUCCAUGCACACAGACACACGAGCCAGAGAAGCACAGAGAAAUGCGACGCCAGUCUCUUUGGCUUGGCUCCUUCCAAGAUGAGGCGGAGUAGCUUCUCUUGGCUACAGACCAGGGGCGACCUUUUUCAUUCUCUCCACUUUUAUUUUUCAAGGAGCUGUGACUGUUUAAGAGAAGUUGGUUCCCGGGGAAGGCAUUUGAUUCCUCAAUGAAUUUCCAUCGGAAUGAGGUUUUUCCUGGAGAUAAACCAGUGCUUUAGUUCCAUUUGGAGCUUAAUUGCUAUGGCCGGAGCCUCUGUUGCUGCCAAUUCCAAUUUGUUUCGGUGAGUCUCGAACUCAUUACCUGGGUG